UAAACUCCAACACGUUACAGCAAUCACCAAAUUGCGACGAGUGUAAAAUUAAAAAGUAAUUAAGAUUCAAUAUUAUCGUUAAUUUGAUAAUAGUUCGCGCAAUAUGGAUAUGUCUCUGAAGGUACGCAAUUACCCGAAACUGGUUUUUCAUAUGGGAACCGACCCUCGCUUGUACAUAAUACCUCAUUUAAGCGGUUCAUCUGAAAAAACAAGAGAAGUGCCCUAGGAAGCUUCCAAACUAGUAUUCUUGGGUUCUACACAUCAGAAACGAGAUACAAAUUUUGAUUUAAAAAAAACGGAAAUUCGAUGUGCCUCAAAACGAAGAUUAACCUCAACUUUUAUCAAUACAAUUAUAAUAGUUAGGUCUCAUUACGCCGAUUCAUGUAUAACAGAAAAGAGGGAAGCAAAAUAGAGAUGCUUACGAUUGUAAUCGAAUCAGGCAGCUUUUGAAGUGAAAAUUUCGCGCAAUCGUCUGUUCCUGAUGAGCACAACAAUUUUUCCUCGUCGAAGACGGAGCCUCUUGGAC